rnacentral:lncRNA from 1 species
GGGAAUGUAACGGGCAUGGUGUGCUUGUCUGAUGGACAGGGCAGCUUAGGGGAAUAAGUCUCUGCAGCGUUGUAGUGAAGAGAGAAUACGGGACAACUGCAGGACCACAGCUCAGCCAAGAGCUCCCUUGCAGCUGAGUUGGCCAUAUGACUGACAGCAAGCCCUGGAAUGCAGCCAGAAGUGAUAGAAGCCUCUUUCACACCAUGCUCCUAAAAUAUUCCAAGAAAUUUUCCAAACCUACUCUUUUUAGUCUGUGCAUCUGGAAGUGAAAGUUUUAGAAAGGGUAAAGUCACUUAAUGGAAAGGGCCCAGAUCUAGCCCCUCGGAGCCAAGCUGUCCAACUAGAAAUUCUGCAUUAGUAUUUGCGACCCCAGUAAAAAAAAAAAAGUCCCACAAAGAUGUAGGAUCUCACUUUGCCUGCGUUAAUUCCCUGUCCUUUGCCCAGUUUCUCCUCUCUUGGAAGGCAGAGGCAGCUUCUGAUUUUGAUCACUUCAUGUCCAGGAUAUGACAUCUUAGGAAGAAGGGACUGGGGGAAAGAAAGCACUUUCUGCUUCUGUGGAUAUAAACACACAGUGUUUUAUUCCCUAGUGCAACAAAACCUCAAGAUCAACAGACAAGAGCUGAAAACCCUUUCCCACCAGACACAGUGCCAUCUAAAUGUUCUCUCAAAAGAUAGCAUCUCAUAAACAAUUUCAACAAAAGGAUGUCAGCUUUUACUUUAUGUGCAUGCACAAAAUCACUUUUCAGGAAAAAAAAUGACCAUUACCGAAUCCAUCAUAAAAUUAAUUACAUUUAGUUGAUCACGUUGGCUGACUGGUUAUAACUCUUGCUGUAUUUUCCAGAAGUGUGUUUCAUUUUAUUUAUCAUUAAAGGAAAAAAUAUUGUAGUUUUCCAAUAUACUGUCUAUUGGUGGUUCUCAAACUCCAGUGUAUGCCACAAUUGCCAAAGAAAUUUAACUAAAUGCAGAUUCCUUGGCACUGUCCCUCAAAAUUCCUAUUUACUUUUUCUGGUAUAAGGUACAGAUAAUUCUGAUUUACUUAAGCUAUGGUUUUAGAAACACUACACUCUAAUUCUAAUUAUUCAUGUUAGUUCUCAUGAAAAUAUUCACAUUAAUUCUAAUGAAAUAUAAUGUGACAAUACUAUAUGUAAGAAUUUCCUCCCUGACUUCAUUUUGAUAUGAAUAGGAGGCAGGGAAAUACUGGGUAGAAGGGGGCAGUUCCCCAGCAAAGGCCCCACCUGAACCCUGGAAACCCAUGGCCCUAAAUGGGAACAGGCAUUUCUGUUUUUGCACCCAAAUGUUGCCUUUUCCAAGACCAUUCUGGCCUGCCAUGCCCCUAUCCUGUGUCCAUAUAAACUCCAAGCUCCAGUGGCAAAGUGGCAGAAUGGCAUGACAGAGAAGCAGAGAAUAGAAGGAGUGUCUGAACAUCAGGAAGAUUUUGGCUGGGGACGGUCGGAGAGAGAUCAGCUGCAGGAUGACUGAACUCCAGGGGAAGAUCAUCUUCCCACUCCAUCCCCUUUCCAGGUCCCCAUCCAUCCCACUGAGAGCCACCCCCAUCACUCAAUAAAAUCCCCACAUUCACCAUCCUUCAA